AUGUGACGGAUGGGCACGAGUUUCCGCCAUAUCUCCCUGAUGCCACGGCGACUUCGGUUGGCUGAAUCUCUGUCUUGCGAAAACUCUCCUUAUUGCGGCGUUUAAGCGUAAUCAUAGGCCUGUAGGUGGUAUCUGUAGAGAACGGCAUGGUGUAGAAUUUUGAGACUAGAUAGUCUGCAAAGUUAAAGGAAUUGACCCUGGUGUGUGAUGGUACUCUAUGAAGAAAAAAUAUAUAGACCAAAGAGAACUUUUGGAUUUCAAAACUGUGCUGUUCAAAGUGACUUUAUUUUAUCAUUGAGUUAUACGUUAUAUGCGGCCGGAUACGCAACACCGUUGAGUGAAGACAAAAAGAAAAGUCUGAAAAAAUCGAAGUAUAGGAUUAUUAAGACUAUUUUAAGAUAUAUAUUUUAAGAUAAGCAAGUGAUUGAACACACAAAUAAAUCUUCAGCAUACACCUGCAUAACAGACAUCCGGUACAGCGAGCAUCAUGGACCGCAUAGAUGAGCUGACGCCCGUGCUGGACGCCGCGCGGUCGAAGAAGAUGACCAAGAAGUACCUGGGCGUGGAGGCGGCGGCCGAGGAGUGGUGCGAGAGCCAGGAGGAACUCGGGCUGGUCACGGCGACGACCCCCGUCAGGUUCUGGAUCCUGCUGGUGUUUUCGCUCUUGUCCUGGCUACAUGUGA